rnacentral:rRNA from 1 species
UACGUAGGGGGCAAGCGUUAUCCGGAUUUACUGGGUGUAAAGGGAGCGUAGACGGCGCGGCAAGUCUGAAGUGAAAGGCAGGGGCUUAACCCCUGAACUGCUUUGGAAACUGCCAUGCUAGAGUGCUGGAGAGGUAAGUGGAAUUCCUAGUGUAGCGGUGAAAUGCGUAGAUAUUAGGAGGAACACCAGUGGCGAAGGCGACUUUCUGGACCGGUAUUGACGCUGAGGCGCGAAAGCGUGGGGAGCAAACAGG